rnacentral:rRNA from 1 species
UGACUCGAUCGGAGUC